AUGCCCAAUGGGGCUCAAGCUUCGACUGAAGAAGGCGAGGCGAGCGGGGGCGAGGCGAGCGGAGGCGAGGCGAGCGGGGGCGAGAGCCAGGGAGAGGAGGAAUGGGACUCGGAUGCUGCAGGGGAUGACGACGACGACGAUGAUGAUGAAGGUGAUGAAGAUGACCUCGAGGACGAGGAAGAAGAGGAGGAGGAGGUCGUUCCACCGCGCUCAGAGAGGCGGUCGAAACUUGUCCACGACCCCUCGACCGAACGUGGUAAGGGGGUAGCGACCGCUGCCCAGUCGACCAAGCGCCCUCGGACCACCUCUCCGGCGCCGACUGAAAAGGCGCCGAAGCAGCCCAGGGCGGCCUCAUCGAAGCCGGCCAAGCUUCUGCCGAAGAUGAAGGUGUCCAUCCCCACCAUUUCAGGUGCUGCUACUUCUGAGAGCUCGGCCCGGGCCGAUGACCACGAGAUGGAGGAUGCCGCAACUUCGAAUCCAGCUCCGCCCAACACUGUUAUCGAUCUACCUGAUGAUGAUGAGGACGAAGAGCCGCUGAAGCCCAGGAGGAGUCGGAAAGCGCCUGCCGGCAAGGUGUCUUAG
rnacentral:rRNA from 1 species